rnacentral:rRNA from 1 species
AGUCUGCAACCCGACUACAUGAAGCUGGAAUCGCUAGUAAUCGCGGAUCAGAAUGCCGCGGUGAAUACGUUCCCGGGUCUUGUACACACCGCCCGUCACACCAUGGGAGUUGGGAAUACCCGAAGCCUGUGAGCUAACAGUAGAGGCAGCAGUCGAAGGUAGAAUCAAUGAUUGAGGUGAAGUCGUAACAAGGUAGC